rnacentral:rRNA from 1 species
CUACGUAGGGUGCAAGCGUUAAUCGGAAUUACUGGGCGUAAAGCGUGCGCAGGCGGUUUUGUAAGACAGAGGUGAAAUCCCCGGGCUCAACCUGGGAAAUGCCUUUGUGACUGCAAGGCUAGAGAACGGCAGAAGGGGAUGGUAAUCCGCGUGUAGCAGUGAAAUGCGUAGAUAUGCGGAGGAACACCGAUGGCGAAGGCAAUACCCUGGUCCGGUACUGACGCUCAUGCACGAAAGCGGGGGGAGCAAACAGGAUUAGAUACCCUGGUAGUCCACGCACUAAACGAUGUCAACUGGUUGUUGGGUCUUCAUUGACUCAGUAUCGAAGCUAACGCGUGAAGUUGACCGCCUGGGGAGUACGGCCGCAAGGUUGAAACUUAAAGGAAUUGACGGGG